GGUCUUAUAUUCAAUUAUGAUUCUAGACUGCAAUUCUAGGGGUGUAAAGUUUUACUAAGGCCU
rnacentral:tRNA from 5 species